CUCUGAUACCAACUUGUAACAUCCCAAUUUUCAAGGCCAGAAAUUUCAUUUUUAACUAAGUAACUCAUAGAAUAGUUUACUAAAAAGAUUACCAAUGUCAAAUCAAUUUAUAAAACUGUAACAACAUGUGUGAAAACCAUAUCAUCAAUAGUAAUAAAAAUCAAAGUAUAAUCGCAAGAAAUCUCAUAGUGCGAAAAUCAUGUGUGUGUGAUGUACCGCUACCAUGCCGGUUCUUUCCCCUUCGCUGAAGAGGUACCUAAAACAAAACUGAAAACUAUAAGCACAAAUCUUAGUGAGUUCCCCCCACCAUACCACACACCAUACAAUAACAUACUUUCAGACAAUUCUGGGGUGCCUGACUACCUAGGUAAAGACAUUCUGGGGUGCUUGACUUACCCAGGUCAAGCCAUUCUGGGGUGCUUCACUUACCCGUCGGUCUAUUUUGCCCGACCAACGGGGACUAUUUCACCCCUACCACUACCACGUAAUAAUAUAACACACAUAUACUGUCAGGUAAUUCUGGGGCGCCUGACCUACCUAGGUCAAUCCAUUAUGUGGUACUUAACUUACCCGUCGGUCCUUACGUCCAACAUACGAGGUCUAUUUCACCACCUACUACUACUAUCACAUAAUACAUAGCAUAAACAUACUACCAGACAAUUCUGGGGUGCCCGACCUACGCGUCGGUCCUAACAACUGAACUUAGGGACUAUUCUCCCCCUACCACCACUAUCACAUAUAACAUACCCAUGGUCAAAGUCAACUUUUGGUCAAAGUCAACAUUUGGUUGACUCGACUAUCCGAGUUGACCCGCCAACUCGUCGAUUCCCCAUAUCCACCAGAGUGUCAUAAUCCCGUCCCUACCCGUCGAUUCUAACAAACGCUUGACGAGUUCGCCCUCAACAACACAUCGGGCAAUCUUCAACCGAUUCGCCGAGUUCAUCUUCAUCCAUAAGAAGAUGUUUAGUUUAUGACUCACCAAGUUCCUCGUGAACUCGCCGAGUCCUUCUUCAUAAGUUGGGAGAUUGCCCUGGACUCGCCGAGUCCGUUUGUUGGGACCCGAAGUGUUGCGUCUGUGGCUCACUCCUUAUCCCAGUUUUGUUACCGGUUUGGGCCUGUCCAAUCGUGUUCUUUUUUAUUAGGGUUUUAGUAUUUAAGGUGCAUGCAUGCAUCCUUGGUAAUUAUCGCUUUCAUUUAUUAUUCUUAUUAUUGUACUACAAACCCUAGUUUUCUUCUACAGUGGAAGUUCUUCAUCGAGCUCUGCUGCGGCGUGACUAUUUUUGAAUCAUUAAGCUAUACUUUGAUUCCAUCUUGUGUUCUUUGUGUUGGUUUGUUUGUUUUUAUUGAUUAACCUGUUGAAGAUCUAAUCGAUCUAAGAGUUUUCAACUCAUAAAUUGGUAUUAGAGCAGGAGACUGUGUAAUUCAUACACAUUUCUUCUGUUGAAGAAUAUCUUAGGGUUUUCCCGCUUUGAUCGAUAUUGUUAGAGCUGUCAUCUGCUAUUGAUGGAGUUCUUUAAUAGUCGAUCUUACCCUAACGUUAUUUACAAGUCUGAUCUUAAACAGGUUUUUGAACAAACAUCGUCAUGUCCAUGGAAGAAUCUCAGACAAACCCAAUCAAUAUAUCCAACAGUCUAGGAUCGACGAAAAGGAUUCCUAUAUUAUACACUCAAGAUUAUGAGGUCUGGACGCAUCACUUUGAAGACUACGUGAUUGGUUCAGAAGAAAUGGAUACUUGAUCUAGGAGGCGAUUACUGUAGGUCCAUUCGUUCACUCAAGCACUUCAAGAAUUGUUAAAACUCAAAAGGAGUACUGUCACACCCCCGAACCAGACGGCGGAAACGUCCGGGGGUUGUUGUGACUCAAUUGAAUACCAUCACAAUGAAUAUACAUGAAACAUAACAUCAUUCAUCACCAACAUUUGAAUAUUACAACUGAUAGUGUUUACAUUCAUUACAUUGUCUCAAAACAUUACAUUCCCAAAAGUAAUUGUUCGAUACUAAUUAAACAAC
rnacentral:lncRNA from 1 species